rnacentral:rRNA from 1 species
GGGCCCGCACAAGCGGUGGAGCAUGUGGUUUAAUUCGAUGCAACGCGAAGAACCUUACCAAGGCUUGACAUACUACAGAUUUCUUUGAAAAAAGGAAAGUGCCUUCGGGAAUGUAGAUACAGGUGGUGCAUGGCUGUCGUCAGCUCGUGUCGUGAGAUGUUGGGUUAAGUCCCGCAACGAGCGCAACCCUUAUUUUUAGUUGCUAAUUUAGUUAGGUUUUCUAGAAAGACUGCCGGUGACAAACCGGAGGAAGGUGAGGAUGACGUCAAGUCAGCAUGCCCCUUAUGCCUUGGGCUACACACGUGCUACAAUGGUUAAGACAAAGAGUUGCGAGCUCGUGAGAGUCAGCUAA